UCCCUGGUGGCUCAGAUGGUAAAGGGUCUGUCUACAAUGCAGGAGACCCGGGUUCGAUCCCUGGGUUGGGAA
rnacentral:tRNA from 1 species